rnacentral:miRNA from 1 species
UCACAGCCAACCUUGAUGAGCC